rnacentral:rRNA from 1 species
GAUGAACGCUAGCGGCAGGCUUAAUACAUGCAAGUCGAGGGGCAGCGCGGGUAGCAAUACCUGGCGGCGACCGGCGCACGGGUGCGUAACACGUAUGCAACCUACCUUAAACUGGGGAAUAGCCCCUCGAAAGGGGGAUUAAUGCCUCAUAAUACUGUGAAAAGGCAUCUUUUUACAUUUAAAGCUCCGGCGGUUUAAGAUGGGCAUGCGCGACAUUAGCUAGUUGGUGAGGUAACGGCUCACCAAGGCUUUGAUGUCUAGGGGUUCUGAGAGGAAAAUCCCCCCCACUGGUACUGAGACACGGACCAGACUCCUACGGGAGGCAGCAGUAAGGAAUAUUGGUCAAUGGGCGCAAGCCUGAACCAGCCAUGCCGCGUGCAGGAUGACGGCCCUAUGGGUUGUAAACUGCUUUUGUACGGGAAAAACCCCCCGAUCGUGAUCGGGGCUGAUGGUACCGUAAGAAUAAGGAUCGGCUAACUCCGUGCCAGCCGCCGCAGUAACAC